GAUGAAGAACGUAGCGAAAUGCGAUAAGUAAUGUGAAUUGCAGAAUUCAGUGAAUCAUCGAAUCUUUGAACGCACAUUGCGCCCGCCAGUAUUCUGGCGGGCAUGCCUGUUCGAGCGUCAUUACAACCCUCAGGCCCCCGGGCCUGGCGUUGGGGAUCGGCGGAAGCCCCCUGCGGGCACAACGCCGUCCCCCAAAUACAGUGGCGGUCCCGCCGCAGCUUCCAUUGCGUAGUAGCUAACACCUCGCAACUGGAGAGCGGCGCGGCCACGCCGUAAAACACCCAACUUCUGAAUGUUGACCUCUAAUCAGGUAGGAAUACCCGCUGAACUUAAGCAUAUCAAUAAGGGAGGA
rnacentral:misc_RNA from 1 species